rnacentral:lncRNA from 1 species
UCGCCCGCGCCCCCCACCAAGGCUAUAGCCCACCCGUUUUUUGGCCAUUUUCCGCUGGGGGGUUUUGGCACCACGACCUUCGGGCGCUUAUUUUUGGACGCGGCUGUGCCCGCGACUUCCCGCGGGCACCCCGAGACCCCUCGCAAAGUCUCGCCCCAUUCCGAGUCCAGCGUACGAACUUCGCCCGCGCCCCCCACCAAGGCUAUAGCCCACCCGUUUUUUGGCCAUUUUUCCGCUGGGGGGUUUUGGCACCACGACCUUCGGGCGCUUAUUUUUGGGCCCGGCUUUGCCCGCUGCUUAUUUUUGGUGCCCCGAGGCCCCUCGCAAAGUCUCGCCCCAUUUCGAGUCCUGCGGACGAACUUCGCCCGCGCCCCCCACCAAGGCUAUAGCCCACCCGUUUUUUGGCCAUUUUUCCGCUGGGGGGUUUUGGCACCACGACCUUCGGGCGCUUAUUUUUGGGCCCGGCUUUGCCCGCUGCUUAUUUCUGGUGCCCCGAGGCCCCGCGCAAAGUCUCGCCCCAUUCCGAGUCCGGCGGACGAACUUCGCCCGCACCCCCCACCAAAGCUAUAGCCCACCCGUUUUUUGGCCAUUUUUCCGCUGGGGGGUUUUGGCACCACGACCUUCGGGCGCUUAUUUUUGGGCGCGGCUUUGCCCGCUGCUUAUUUUUGGUGCCCCGAGGCCCCUCGCAAAGUCUCGCCCCAUUUCGAGUCCUGCGGACGAACUUCGCCCGCGCCCCCCACCAAGGCUAUAGCCCACCCGUUUUUUAUCCAUUUUUCCGCUGGGGGGUUUUGGCACCACGACCUUCGGGCGCUUAUUUUUGGGCGCGGCUUUGCCCGCGGCUUAUUUUUGGCACCCCGAGGCCCCUCGCAAAGUCUCGCCCCGUUCCGAGUCUGGCGGACGAACUUCGCCCGCGCCCCCCACAAAGGCUAUAGCCCACCCGUUUUUUGGCCAUUUUUCCGCUGGGGGGUUUUGGCACCACGACCUUCGGGCGCUUAUUUUUGGACGCGGCUGUGCCCGCGACUUCCCGCGGGCACCCCGAGGCCCCUCGCAAAGUCUCGCCCCAUUCCGAGUCCAGCGUACGAACUUCGCCCGCGCCCCCCACCAAGGCUAUAGCCCACCCGUUUUUUGGCCAUUUUUCCGCUGGGGGGUUUUGGCACCACGACCUUCGGGCGCUUAUUUUUGGGCGCGGCUUUGCCCGCGGCUUAUUUUUGGCGCCCCGAGGCCCCGCGCAAAGUCUCGCCCCAUUCCGAGUCCGGCGGACGAACUUCGCCCGCGCCCCCCAGCAAGGCUAUAGCCCACCCGUUUUUUGGCCAUUUUUCCGCUGGGGGGUUUUGGCACCACGACCUUCGGGCACUUAUUUCUGGACGCGGCUGUGCCCGCGACUUCCUGCGGGCACCCCGAGGCCCCUCGCAAAGUUUCGCCCCAUUCCAAGUCCGGCGGACGAACUUCGCCCGCGCCCCCCACCAAGGCUAUAGCCCACCCGUUUUUUGGCCAUUUUUCCGCUGGGGGGUUUUGGCCCCACGACCUUCGGGCGCUUAUUUUUGGGCGCGGCUUUGCCCGCGACUUCCCGCGGGCACCCCUAGGCCCCUCGCAAAGUCUCGCCCCAUUCCGAGUCCGGCGGACGAACUUCGCCCGCGCCCCCCACCAAGGCUAUAGCCCACCCGUUUUUUGGCCAUUUUUCCGCUGGGGGGUUUUGGCCCCACGACCCUCGGGCGCUUAUUUUUGGGUGCGGCUUUGCCCGCGACUUCCCGCGGGCACCCCUAGGCCCCUCGCAAAGUCUCGCCCCAUUCCGAGUCCGGCGGACGAACUUCGCCCGCGCCCCCCACCAAGGCUAUAGCCCACCCGUUUUUUGGCCAUUUUUCCGCUGGGGGGUUUUGGCACCACGACCUUCGGGCGCUUAUUUUUGGGUGCGGCCUUGCCCGCGGCUUAUUUUUGGCGCCCCGAGGCCCCGCGCAAAGUCUCGCCCCAUUCCGAGUCCGGCGGACGAACUUCGCCCGCGCCCCCCAGCAAGGCUAUAGCCCACCCGUUUUUUGGCCAUUUUUCCGCUGGGGGGUUUUGGCACCACGACCUUCGGGCGCUUAUUUCUGGACGCGGCUGUGCCCGCGACUUCCUGCGGGCACCCCGAGGACCCUCGCAAAGUUUCGCCCCAUUCCAAGUCCGGCGGACGAACUUCGCCCGCGCCCCCCACCAAGGCUAUAGCCCACCCGUUUUUUGGCCAUUUUUCCGCUGGGGGGUUUUGGCACCACGACCUUUGGGUGCUUAUUUUUGGGCGCAGCUUUGCCCGCGGCUUAUUUUUGGCACCCCGAGGCCCCUCGCAAAGCCUCGCCCCAUUCCGAGUCCGGCUGACGAACUUCGCCCGGGCCCCCCACCAAGGCUAUAGCCCACCCGUUUUUUGGCCAUUUUUCCGCUGGGGGGUUUUGGCACCACGACCUUCGGGAGCUUAUUUUUGGACGCGGCUGUGCCCGCGACUUCCUGCGGGCACCCCGAGGCCCCUCGCAAAGUCUCGCCCCAUUCCGAGUCCGGCGGACGAACUUCCCCCGCGCCCCCCACCAAGGCUAUAGCCCACCCGUUUUUUGGCCAUUUUUCCGUUGGGGGGUUUUGGCACCACGACCUUCGGGCGCUUAUUUUUGGACGCGGCUGUGCCCGCGACUUCCCGCGGGCACCCCGAGGCCCCUCGCAAAGUCUCGCCCCAUUCCGAGUCCGGCGGACGAACUUCGCCCUCGCCCCCCACCAAGGCUAUAGCCCACCCGUUUUUUGGCCAUUUUUCCGCUGGGGGGUUUUGGCACCACGACCUUCGGGCGCUUAUUUUUGGGCGCGGCUGUGCCCGCAACUUCCCGCGGGCACCCCAAGGCCCCUCGCAAAGUCUCGCCCCAUUCCGAGUCCGGGGGACGAACUUCGCCCGCGCCCCCCACCAAGGCUAUAGCCCACCCGUUUUUUGGCCAUUUUUCCGCUGGGGGGUUUUGGCACCACGACCUUCGGGCGCUUAUUUUUGGGCGCGGCUUUGCCCGCGGCUAAUUUUUGGUGCCCCGAGGCCCCUCGCAAAGUCUCGUCCCAUUCCGAGUCCGGCGGACGAACUUCGCCCGCGCCCCCCACCAAGGCUAUAGCCCACCCGUUUUUUGGCCAUUUUUCCGCUGGGGUGUUUUGGCACCACGACCUUUGGGCGCUUAUUUUUGCGCGCGGCUUUGCCCACGGCUUAUUUUUGGCACCCCGAGGCCCCUCGCAAAGUCUCGCCCCAUUCCGAGUCCGGCGGACUAACUUCGCCCGCGCCCCCCACCAAGGCUAUAGCCCACCCGUUUUUUGGCCAUUUUUCCGCUGGGGGGUUUUGGCACCACGACCUUCGUGCGCUUAUUUCUGGACGCGGCUGUGCCCGCGACUUCCCGCGGGCAACCCGAGGCCCCUCGCAAAGUCUCGCCCCAUUCCGAGUCCGGCGGACGAACUUCGCCCGCGUCCCCCACCAAGGCUAUAGCCCACCCGUUUUUUGGCCAUUUUUCCGCUGGGGGGUUUUGGCACCACGACCUUCGGGCGCUUAUUUCUGGACGCGGCUGUGCCCGCGACUUCACGCGGGCACCCCGAGGCCCCUCGCAAAGUCUCGCCCCAUUCCAAGUCCGGCGGACGAACUUCGCCCGCGCCCCCCACCAAGGCUAUAGCCCACCCGUUUUUUGGCCAUUUUUCCGCUGGGGGGUUUUGGCACCACGACCUUUGGGUGCUUAUUUUUGGGCGCAGCUUUGCCCGCGGCUUAUUUUUGGCAUCCCGAGGCCCCCUCGCAAAGCCUCGCCCCAUUCCGAGUCCGGCGGACGAAACUCGCCCGCGCCCCCCACCAAGGCUAUAGCCCACCCGUUUUUUGGCCAUUUUUCCGGCUGGGGGGUUUUGGCACCACGACCUUCGGGAGCUUAUUUUUGGGCGCGGCUGUGCCCGCGACUUCCCGCGGGCACCCCGAGGCCCCUCGCAAAGUCUCGCCCCAUUCCGAGUCCGGCGGACGAACUUCGCCCGCGCCCCCCACCAAGGCUAUAGCCCACCCGUUUUUUGGCCAUUUUUCCGCUGGGGGGUUUUGGCACCACGACCUUCGGGCGCUUAUUUCUGGACGCGGCUGUGCCCGCGACUUCACGCGGGCACCCCGAGGCCCCUCGCAAAGUCUCGCCCCAUUCCAAGUCCGGCGGACGAACUUCGCCCGCGCCCCCCACCAAGGCUAUAGCCCACCCGUUUUUUGGCCAUUUUUCCGCUGGGGGGUUUUGGCACCACGACCUUUGGGUGCUUAUUUUUGGGCGCAGCUUUGCCCGCGGCUUAUUUUUGGCAUCCCGAGGCCCCUCGCAAAGCCUCGCCCCAUUCCGAGUCCGGCUGACGAACUUCGCCCGCGCCCCCCACCAAGGCUAUAGCCCACCCGUUUUUUGGCCAUUUUUCCGCUGGGGGGUUUUGGCACCACGACCUUCGGGAGCUUAUUUUUGGCCGCGGCUGUGCCCGCGACUUCCCGCGGGCACCCCGAGGCCCCUCGCAAAGUCUCGCCCCAUUCCGAGUCCGGCGGACGAACUUCGCCCGCGCCCCCCACCAAGGCUAUAGCCCACCCGUUUUUUGGCCAUUUUUCCGCUGGGGGGUUUUGGCACCACGACCUUCGGGCGCUUAUUUUUGGACGCGGCUGUGCCCGCGACUUCCCGCGGGCACCCCGAGGCCCCUCGCAAAGUCUCGCCCCAUUCCGAGUCCGGCGGACGAACUUCGCCCGCGCCCCCCCACCAAGGCUAUAGCCCACCCGUUUUUUGGCCAUUUUUCCGCUGGGGUGUUUUGGCACCACGACCUUCGGGCGCUUAUUUUUGGGCGCGGCUUUGCCCGCGGCUUAUUUGUGGCGCCCCGAGGCCCCGCGCAAAGUCGCGCCCCAUUCCGAGUCCGGCGGACGAACUUCGCCCGCGCCCCCCACCAAGGCUAUAGCCCUCCCGUUUUUUGGCCAUUUUUCCGCUGGGGGGUUUUGGCAACACGACCUUCGGGAGCUUAUUUUUGGGCGCGGCUUUGCCCGCGGCUUAUUUUUGGCACCCUGAGGCCCCUCGCAAUGUCUCGCCCCAUUCCAAGUCCGGCGGACGAACUUCGCCCGCACCCCCCACCAAGGCUAUAGCCCACCCGUUUUUUGGCCAUUUUUCCGCUGGGGGGUUUUGGCACCACGACCUUCGGGCGCUUAUUUCUGGACGCGGCUGUGCCCGCGACUUCCCGCGGGCACCCCGAGGCCCCUCGCAAAGUCUCGCCCCAUUCCGAGUCCGGCGGACGAACUUCGCCCGCGCCCCCCACCAAGGCUAUAGCCCACCCGUUUUUUGGCCAUUUUUCCGCUGGGGGGUUUUGGCACCACGACCUUCGGGCGCUUAUUUUUGGACGCGGCUUUGCCCGCGGCUUAUUUCGGGCACCCCGAGGCCCCUCGCAAAGUCUCGCCCCAUUUCCAAGUCCGGCGGAUGAACUUCGCCCGCGCCCCCCACCAAGGCUAUAGCCCACCCGUUUUUUGGCCAUUUUUCCGCUGGGGGGUUUUGGCACCACGACCUUCGGGCGCUUAUUUCUGGACGCGGCUGUACCCGCGACUUCCCGCGGGCACCCCGANNNNNNNNNNNNNNNNNNNNNNNNNNNNNNNNNNNNNNNNNNNNNNNNNNNNNNNNNNNNNNNNNNNNNNNNNNNNNNNNNNNNNNNNNNNNNNNNNNNNNNNNNNNNNNNNNNNNNNNNNNNNNNNNNNNNNNNNNNNNNNNNNNNNNNCUGUGGCCCGAGACUUCCCGCGGGCACCCCGAGGCCCCUCGCAAAGUCUCGCCCCAUUCCGAGUCCGGCGGACGAACUUCGCCCGCGCCCCCCACCAAGGCUAUAGCCCACCCGUUUUUUGGCCAUUUUUCCGCUGGGGGGUUUUGGCACCACGACCUUCGGGCGCUUAUUUCUGGACGCGGCUGUGCCCGCGACUUCCCGCGGGCACCCCGAGGCCCCUCGCAAAGUCUCGCCCCAUUCCGAGUCCGGCGGACGAACUUCGCCCGCGCCCCCCACCAAGGCUAUAGCCCACCCGUUUUUUGGCCAUUUUUCCGCUGGGGGGUUUUGGCACCACGACCUUCGGGCACUUAUUUUUGGGCGCGGCUUUGCCCGCGGCUUAUUUUUGGCACCCUGAGGCCCCUCGCAAUGUCUCGCCCCAUUCCAAGUCCGGCGGACGAACUUCGCCCGCGCCCCCCACCAAGGCUAUAGCCCACCCGUUUUUUGGCCAUUUUUCCGCUGGGGGGUUUUGGCACCACGACCUUCGGGCGCUUAUUUCUGGACGCGGCUGUGCCCGCGACUUCCCGCGGGCACCCCGAGGCCCCUCGCAAAGUAUCGCCCCAUUCCGAGUCCGGCGGACGAACUUCGCCCGCACCCCCCACCAAGGCUAUAGCCCACCCGUUUUUUGGCCUUUUUUCCGCUGGGGGGUUUUGGCACCAAGACCUUCGGGCGCUUAUUUUUGGGCGCGGCUUUGCCCGCGGCUUAUUUUUGGUGCCCCGGGGCCCCUCCCAAAGUCUCGCCCCAUUCCGAGUCCGGCGGACGAACUUCGCCCGCGCCCCCCACCAAGGAUAUAGCCCACCCGUUUUUUGGCCAUUUUUCCGCUGGGGGGUUUUGGCACCACGACCUUCGGGCGCUUAUUUUUGGGCGCGGCUUUGCCCGCGGCUUAUUUUUGGCGCCCCGAGUCCCCUCGCAAAGUCUCGUCCCAUUCCGAGUCCGGCAGACGAACUUCGCCCGCGCCCCCCACCAAGGCUAUAGCCCACCCGUUUUUUGGCCAUUUUUCCGCUGGGGGGUUUUGG